UACGAAGGGUGCUAGCGUUGUUCGGAAUUACUGGGCGUAAAGCGCGCGUAGGCUGCAAGGCAAGUCAGUGGUGAAAUCCCGGAGCUCAACUUCGGAACUGCCAUUGAAACUGCUUUGCUAGAAUCUCAGAGGGGAUAGCGGAAUUCCAAAUGUAGGGGUGAAAUCCGUAGAUAUUUGGAGGAACACCGGUGGCGAAGGCGGCUAUCUGGAUGAGUAUUGACGCUGAGGUGCGAAAGCGUGGGGAGCAAACAGG
rnacentral:rRNA from 1 species